rnacentral:lncRNA from 1 species
UCAAAUUUUAAAUGUUAAUAACAAAGCACACCUUUACUGAACACGUAUAAAAAUUAAACACAAUCAAACUGAAAUCACAGUUAGUCAAUCAAGCAGAAUCACAUAAUGAGUAUUUCAAUAAUGCCAAUGUGAAUUAUUUUUUGAUAAGCUAUUUUAAGUUCAUUUGUAUUUUUAAACAGUUAUCAUGUAAAAGGAGUAGGUC